CGGGGGGCAGCAGUGAGGAAUAUUGGUCAAUGGGCGCAAGCCUGAACCAGCCAUGCCGCGUGCAGGAAGAAUGUCCUAUGGAUUGUAAACUGCUUUUAUUUGGGAAUAAACCCCCCGACGUGUCGGGGUCUGAAGGUACCAAAUGAAUAAGCACCGGCUAACUCCGUGCCAGCAGCCGCGGUAAUACGGAGGGUGCAAGCGUUAUCCGGAAUCAUUGGGUUUAAAGGGUCCGCAGGCGGGCAUAUAAGUCAGUGGUGAAAGCCUACAGCUCAACUGUAGAACUGCCAUUGAUACUGUAAGUCUUGAAUUCGGUCGAAGUGGGCGGAAUGUGUAGUGUAGCGGUGAAAUGCAUAGAUAUUACACAGAACACCGAUAGCGAAGGCAGCUCACUAGGCCUGGAUUGACGCUCAGGGACGAAAGCGUGGGGAUCAAACAGGAUUAGAUACCCGAGU
rnacentral:rRNA from 1 species